CGUGGGCAACCUGCCCUGUAGACUGGGAUAACUNUGGGAAACCGAAGCUAAUACCGGAUAAUCAUAGAAGUUGCAUAGCUUCUAUGUAAAAGUUGGGUUUACCUAACACUACAGGAUGGGCCCGCGUCGCAUUAGCUAGUUGGUAAGGUAACGGCUUACCAAGGCGACGAUGCGUAGCCGACCUGAGAGGGUGAUCGGCCACACUGGGACUGAGACACGGCCCAGACUCCUACGGGAGGCAGCAGUAGGGAAUCUUCCGCAAUGGACGAAAGUCUGACGGAGCAACGCCGCGUGAGCGAUGAAGGCCUUCGGGUCGUAAAGCUCUGUUGUUAGGGAAGAACAAGUGCUAUUCGAAUUUGGUUGCACCUUGACGGUACCUAACGAGAAAGCCACGGCUAACUACGUGCCAGCAGCCGCGGUAAUACGUAGGUGGCAAGCGUUGUCCGGAAUUAUUGGGCGUAAAGCGCGCGCAGGCGGUCUCUUAAGUCUGAUGUGAAAGCCCACGGCUCAACCGUGGAG
rnacentral:rRNA from 1 species